AUGGCCACAUCAUGUUGAAACACCGGUCCCCGUACGAUCACUUAAGUUAAGCAACGUCGAACCUGGUCAGUACUUAGACUGGUAACCGCUUGAGAAGAAUAGGUUCUGUAUG